rnacentral:rRNA from 1 species
AACGAACGCUGGCGGCAUGCCUAACACAUGCAAGUCGAACGAGACCUUCGGGUCUAGUGGCGCACGGGUGCGUAACGCGUGGGAACCUGCCCUUAGGUUCGGAAUAACUCCCCGAAAGGGGUGCUAAUACCGGAUAAUGUCUUCGGACCAAAGAUUUAUCGCCUUUGGAUGGGCCCGCGUUUGAUUAGCUAGUUGGUAGGGUAAAAGCCUACCAAGGCGACGAUCCAUAGCUGGUCUGAGAGGAUGAUCAGCCACACUGGGACUGGGACACGGCCCAGACUCCUACGGGAGGCAGCAGUGGGGAAUAUUGGACAAUGGGCGAAAGCCUGAUCCAGCAAUGCCGCGUGAGUGAUGAAGGCCUUAGGGUUGUAAAGCUCUUUUACCCGGGAUGAUAAUGACGGUACCGGGAGAAUAAGCUCCGGCUAACUCCGUG